rnacentral:rRNA from 1 species
AUACGGAGGAUCCGAGCGUUAUCCGGAUUUAUUGGGUUUAAAGGGAGCGUAGGUGGGAUAUUAAGUCAGCUGUGAAAGUUUGGGGCUCAACCUUAAAAUUGCAGUUGAUACUGGUUUCCUUGAGUACGGUACAGGUGGGCGGAAUUCGUGGUGUAGCGGUGAAAUGCUUAGAUAUCACGAAGAACUCCGAUCGCGAAGGCAGCUCACCGGGCCGGAACUGACACUGAUGCUCGAAAGUGCGGGUAUCAAACAGGAUUAGAUACCCUGGUAGUCCGCACAGUAAACGAUGGAUACUCGCUGUCGGCGAUAUACGGUCGGUGGCCAAGCGAAAGCGUUAAGUAUUCCACCUGGGGAGUACGCCGGCAACGGUGAAACUCAAAGGAAUUGACGGGG